GUUUCAGGGCGAGGUGAAAGUCCUCACCGGCGGUGAUGAGCCAGCGCUCAAAGUCCGCGAACCCUGCUUAUAAAGCGGGGCUGAACGGGUGAGAAUCCCGUACCGACGGUUACAGUCCGGAUGGAAGAAA
rnacentral:ncRNA from 1 species